CAUCGUUGACGCUGACUGUACG
rnacentral:miRNA from 1 species